rnacentral:tRNA from 1 species
ACAGUGGUGGUUCAGUGCUAGAAUUCUCGCCUUCCAUGCGGGAGACUUGAGUUCGAUUCCUGGCCAAUGCA